GACGAACGCUGGCGGCGUGCUUAACACAUGCAAGUCGAACGAAGAGCGACGGAAGCUUGCUUCUAUCAAUCUUAGUGGCGAACGGGUGAGUAACGCGUAAUCAACCUGCCCUUCAGAGGGGGACAACAGUUGGAAACGACUGCUAAUACCGCAUACGAUCUAAUCUCGGCAUCGAGGAUGGAUGAAAGGUGGCCUCUACAUGUAAGCUAUCACUGAAGGAGGGGAUUGCGUCUGAUUAGCUAGUUGGAGGGGUAACGGCCCACCAAGGCGAUGAUCAGUAGCCGGUCUGAGAGGAUGAACGGCCACAUUGGGACUGAGACACGGCCCAGACUCCUACGGGAGGCAGCAGUGGGGGAUCUUCCGCAAUGGACGAAAGUCUGACGGAGCAACGCCGCGUGAGUGAUGACGGCCUUCGGGUUGUAAAGCUCUGUUAAUCGGGACGAAAGGCCUUCUUGCGAAUAGUGAGAAGGAUUGACGGUACCGGAAUAGAAAGCCACGGCUAACUACGUG
rnacentral:rRNA from 1 species